rnacentral:rRNA from 1 species
CCUACGGGAGGCAGCAGUAGGGAAGAUUGCUCAAUGGGGGAAACCCUGAAGCAGCAACGCCGCGUGGAGGAUGAAGGUUUUCGGAUUGUAAACUCCUUUUGUUAGAGAAGAGAAUGACGGUAUCUAACGAAUAAGCACCGGCUAACUCCGUGCCAGCAGCCGCGGUAAUACGGAGGGUGCAAGCGUUCCUCGGAAUCACUGGGCGUAAAGAGCGCGUAGGCGGGAUAGCAAGUCAGAUGUUAAAUCCUAUUGCUUAACCAUAGAACUGCAUUUGAAACUGCUAUUCUAGAGUAUGGGAGAGGUAGGUGGCAUUCUUGGUGUCGUGGUCAACUCCGUUGAGAUCCAGCGGAAUCCUCAUUGCGCCGGCGACCUGCUAGAACAUAACUGACGCUGAUGCGCGAAAGCGUGGGGCGCAAACAGGAUUAGAUACCCGAGUAGUC